rnacentral:rRNA from 1 species
UACGUAGGUGGCAAGCGUUGUCCGGAUUUACUGGGCGUAAAGCGUGCGCAGGCGGUUCGUUGUGUCUGAUGUGAAAGCCCCGGGCUCAACCUGGGAAUGGCAUUGGAAACUGGCGAGCUGGAGUGUGGCAGAGGGGGGGGUGGAAUUCCGCGUGUAGCAGUGAAAUGCGUAGAGAUGCGGAGGAACACCGAUGGCGAAGGCAGCCCCCCCUGGGUUAACACUGACGCUCAGGCACGAAAGCGUGGGGAGCAAACAGG